rnacentral:rRNA from 1 species
UACGUAGGUGGCAAGCGUUGUCCGGAAUUAUUGGGCGUAAAGCGCGCGCAGGCGGUCCUUUAAGUCUGAUGUGAAAGCCCACGGCUCAACCGUGGAGGGUCAUUGGAAACUGGAGGACUUGAGUACAGAAGAGGAAAGCGGAAUUCCACGUGUAGCGGUGAAAUGCGUAGAGAUGUGGAGGAACACCAGUGGCGAAGGCGGCUUUCUGGUCUGUAACUGACGCUGAGGCGCGAAAGCUAGGGUAGCAAACGGG